UAAAGAUAUUAAGGGCAUACGGUGGAUGCCUUGGCACAAGAAGUCGAUGAAGGACGUGACAAGCUGCGAUAAGCUGCGGUGAGCUGCACAUAGGCGUUAUUAACCGCAGAUUUCCGAAUGGGGCAACCCGGAUGAGGUAAUGCUCAUCCACUUCCAUCUGAAUCAAAUAGGAUGGCUAGAGACAACCCGGAGAACUGAAACAUCUAAGUACCCGGAGGAAAAGAAAUCAACCGAGAUUGCGCUAGUAGCGGCGAGCGAACGCGCAGAUAGCCUAAACCCAUGCAUGUGUAAGUUUCAGGACGUUGCUGCAUGUGGUGUCGUGGGGUCGUCUUUGUGGGAGCCUGUACCUCCCAUGCGCAGUUACAAAAUCCAUUCAUAGUCGAAGUGGUCUGGAAAGUCCUACCAGAGAAGGUAAUAGUCCUGUAAGCGAAAUGAAUGGGUCUGCGUCGAGAUGAUACCCGAGUAAUGCCGGACACGUGAAAUCCGGUAUGAAUCCAGGGAGACCACUCUCUAAGGCUAAAUACUCUCUUGUGACCGAUAGCGAACCAGUACCGUGAGGGAAAGGUGAAAAGUACCCCGAGAGGGGAGUGAAAUAGUACCUGAAACCGUAUGCCUACAAGCAGUCGGAGCGCUCUUGCAGCGUGACGGCGUGCCUUUUGUAGAAUGAGCCAGCGAGUUACGAUGUGCGGCGAGGUUAAGUUUUGAAACGAGCCGUAGUGAAAGCGAGCCUUUAAGAUGGCGUCAUAGUCGUAUGUCGUAGACGCGAAGCCGGGUGAUCUAUCCAUGGGCAGGCUGAAGCAGAGGUAAGACUCUGUGGAGGGCCGAACCCACUUCGGUUGAAAACGGAGGGGAUGACCUGUGGAUAGGGGUGAAAGGCCAAUCAAACUCGGAGAUAUCUCGUUCUCCCCGAAAUAGCUUUAGGGCUAGCCUCGAAUCGUUUACUUACGGUGGUAGAGCCACUGGAUUCGUGCGGGGGCUUCACCGCCUACCAACCGAAACCAAACUCCGAAUGCCGUAAGUCUAUAGAUCGGGAGUCAGAACAUGUGGGCUAAGCCGUGUGUUCGAGAGGGAAACAGCCCAGACCGCCUGCUAAGGUCCCUAAAUUCAUGCUAAGUGGCAAAGGAUGUGCGUUUGCCUAGACAACCAGGAUGUUGGCUUAGAAGCAGCCAUGCAUUUAAAGAGUGCGUAACAGCUCACUGGUCAAGUGGACAUGCGCCGACAAUUCACGGGGCUCAAGCAUGAUACCGAAGCAGCGGACUGAUAUUUUUCAGUGGUAGGGGAGCUUUCUUAUCUGGGUCGAAGCUGUGUGGCAACGCAUGGUGGACUGGUAAGAAGUGAGAAUGCUGGCAUGAGUAACGAGAGUGAGGCGAGAAACCUCACCGCCGUAAGCCUAAGGGUUCCUGGGCAAGGCUAAUCCUCCCAGGGUCAGUCGGGAGCUAAGACGAGGCCGACAGGCGUAGUCGAUGCACAACAGGUUGAUAUUCCUGUACCACCACGAAUCGUUAUGACGAUGGGGUGACGGAGAAGGAUAGCUGGGCGGGGUUCUGGACGUCCCCGUGAAAGCGUGUAGGGUGCGCAUGCAGGUAAAUCCGCAAGCGCUUAUGCCUGAGACGUGAGACGAAGCUCUAAGUGAAGUCAGUGAUUCCCUGCUUCCAAGAAAAACCUCUAAGCAGAUAUCGUGGUGCCCGUACCAAAACCGACACAGGUAGGCGGGUAGAGUAUACCAAGGCGAUCGGGAGAACUAUGGUUAAGGAACUCGGCAUAAUGACUCCGUAACUUCGGGAGAAGGAGUGCCGCUCAUGGGUGAUAGGGCAUGCCCCUAAAAGCCUAGGGCGGUCGCAGUGAAACGGCCCAAGCGACUGUUUAUCAAAAACACAGGACUCUGCUAAGUCGCAAGACGAUGUAUAGGGUCUGACGCCUGCCCGGUGCUGGAAGGUUACGUGGAUGGGUUAGCCUUUUUGGGCGAAGCUCUGAAACUAAGCCCCAGUAAACGGCGGCCGUAACUAUAACGGUCCUAAGGUAGCGAAAUUCCUUGUCGGGUAAGUUCCGACCUGCACGAAUGGCGUAACGAUUUGGGCGCUGUCUCAACCAUAGACCCGGUGAAAUUGUAUUAUUCGUGAAGAUGCGAAUUACCCACGGAAGGACGGAAAGACCCCGUGAACCUUCACUACAGCUUGACAUUGAUCAUUGGUUCUGUGUGUAG
rnacentral:rRNA from 1 species